AGAACGAACGCUGGCGGCAUGCCUAAUACAUGCAAGUCGAACGAAUGCCCUUCGGGGUGUUAGUGGCGCACGGGUGCGUAACGCGUGGGAAUCUGCCCUUGGGUUCGGAAUAACAGUUAGAAAUGACUGCUAAUACCGGAUGAUGACGUAAGUCCAAAGAUUUAUCGCCCAGGGAUGAGCCCGCGUAGGAUUAGCUAGUUGGUGGGGUAAAGCCUACAAGGCGACGAUCCUUAGCUGGUCUGAGAGG
rnacentral:rRNA from 1 species